rnacentral:rRNA from 1 species
UUAAGCGACUAAGCGUACACGGUGGAUGCCCUGGCAGUCAGAGGCGAUGAAGGACGUGCUAAUCUGCGAAAAGCGUCGGUAAGGUGAUAUGAACCGUUAUAGCCGGCGAUGUCCGAAUGGGGAAACCCAGUGCAAUUCGUUGCACUAUCGUUAACUGAAUACAUAGGUUAACGAGGCGAACCGGGGGAACUGAAACAUCUAAGUACCCCGAGGAAAAGAAAUCAACCGAGAUUCCCCCAGUAGCGGCGAGCGAACGGGGAGCAGCCCAGAGUCUGAAUCAGCUUGUGUGUUAGUGGAACGGUCUGGAAAGUCCGACGGUACAGGGUGAUAGUCCCGUACACCAAAAUGCACAGGUUGUGAACUCGAAGAGUAGGGCGGGACACGUGGUAUCCUGUCUGAAUAUGGGGGGACCAUCCUCCAAGGCUAAAUACUCCUGACUGACCGAUAGUGAACCAGUACCGUGAGGGAAAGGCGAAAAGAACCCCGGCGAGGGGAGUGAAAAAGAACCUGAAACCGUGUACGUACAAGCAGUGGGAGCACCUUCGGGUGUGACUGCGUACCUUUUGUAUAAUGGGUCAGCGACUUAUAUUCUGUAGCAAGGUUAACCGUAUAGGGGAGCCGCAGGGAAACCGAGUCUUAACUGGGCGUUAAGUUGCAGGGUAUAGACCCGAAACCCGGUGAUCUAGCCAUGGGCAGGUUGAAGGUUGGGUAACACUAACUGGAGGACCGAACCGACUAAUGUUGAAAAAUUAGCGGAUGACUUGUGGCUGGGGGUGAAAGGCCAAUCAAACCGGGAGAUAGCUGGUUCUCCCCGAAAGCUAUUUAGGUAGCGCCUCGUGAAUUCAUCUUCGGGGGUAGAGCACUGUUUCGGCUAGGGGGUCAUCCCGACUUACCAACCCGAUGCAAACUACGAAUACCGAAGAAUGUUAUCACGGGAGACACACGGCGGGUGCUAACGUCCGUCGUGAAGAGGGAAACAACCCAGACCGCCAGCUAAGGUCCCAAAGUCAUGGUUAAGUGGGAAACGAUGUGGGAAGGCACAGACAGCCAGGAUGUUGGCUUAGAAGCAGCCAUCAUUUAAAGAAAGCGUAAUAGCUCACUGGUCGAGUCGGCCUGCGCGGAAGAUGUAACGGGGCUAAACCAUGCACCGAAGCUGCGGCAGCGACACUAUGUGUUGUUGGGUAGGGGAGCGUUCUGUAAGCCUGCGAAGGUGACCUGUGAGGCUUGCUGGAGGUAUCAGAAGUGCGAAUGCUGACAUAAGUAACGAUAAAGCGGGUGAAAAGCCCGCUCGCCGGAAGACCAAGGGUUCCUGUCCAACGUUAAUCGGGGCAGGGUGAGUCGACCCCUAAGGCGAGGCCGAAAGGCGUAGUCGAUGGGAAACAGGUUAAUAUUCCUGUACUUGGUGUUACUGCGAAGGGGGGACGGAGAAGGCUAUGUUAGCCGGGCGACGGUUGUCCCGGUUUAAGCAUGUAGGCUGGUUAUCCAGGCAAAUCCGGAUAAUCAAGGCUGAGGUGUGAUGACGAGGCACUACGGUGCUGAAGUAACAAAUGCCCUGCUUCCAGGAAAAGCCUCUAAGCAUCAGGUAACAUCAAAUCGUACCCCAAACCGACACAGGUGGUCAGGUAGAGAAUACCAAGGCGCUUGAGAGAACUCGGGUGAAGGAACUAGGCAAAAUGGUGCCGUAACUUCGGGAGAAGGCACGCUGAUAUGUAGGUGAAGCCCCUGCGGGUGGAGCUGAAAUCAGUCGAAGAUACCAGCUGGCUGCAACUGUUUAUUAAAAACACAGCACUGUGCAAACACGAAAGUGGACGUAUACGGUGUGACGCCUGCCCGGUGCCGGAAGGUUAAUUGAUGGGGUUAUCCGUAAGGAGAAGCUCUUGAUCGAAGCCCCGGUAAACGGCGGCCGUAACUAUAACGGUCCUAAGGUAGCGAAAUUCCUUGUCGGGUAAGUUCCGACCUGCACGAAUGGCGUAAUGAUGGCCAGGCUGUCUCCACCCGAGACUCAGUGAAAUUGAACUCGCUGUGAAGAUGCAGUGUACCCGCGGCAAGACGGAAAGACCCCGUGAACCUUUACUAUAGCUUGACACUGAACAUUGAGCCUUGAUGUGUAGGAUAGGUGGGAGGCUUUGAAGCGUGGACGCCAGUCUGCGUGGAGCCAACCUUGAAAUACCACCCUUUAAUGUUUGAUGUUCUAACGUUGGCCCCUGACCGGGGUUGCGGACAGUGUCUGGUGGGUAGUUUGACUGGGGCGGUCUCCUCCCAAAGCGUAACGGAGGAGCACGAAGGUUAGCUAAUCCUGGUCGGACAUCAGGAGGUUAGUGCAAUGGCAUAAGCUAGCUUGACUGCGAGCGUGACGGCGCGAGCAGGUGCGAAAGCAGGUCAUAGUGAUCCGGUGGUUCUGAAUGGAAGGGCCAUCGCUCAACGGAUAAAAGGUACUCCGGGGAUAACAGGCUGAUACCGCCCAAGAGUUCAUAUCGACGGCGGUGUUUGGCACCUCGAUGUCGGCUCAUCACAUCCUGGGGCUGAAGUAGGUCCCAAGGGUAUGGCUGUUCGCCAUUUAAAGUGGUACGCGAGCUGGGUUUAGAACGUCGUGAGACAGUUCGGUCCCUAUCUGCCGUGGGCGCUGGAGAAUUGAGGGGGGCUGCUCCUAGUACGAGAGGACCGGAGUGGACGCAUCACUGGUGUUCGGGUUGUCAUGCCAAUGGCACUGCCCGGUAGCUAAAUGCGGAAGAGAUAAGUGCUGAAAGCAUCUAAGCACGAAACUUGCCCCGAGAUGAGUUCUCCCUGAGACUAUAAGUCUCCUGAAGGAACGUUAAAGACGAUGACGUUGAUAGGCCGGGUGUGUAAGCGCAGCGAUGCGUUGAGCUAACCGGUACUAAUGAACCGUGAGGCUUAACCUU